ACUGAUCCUUCGGGCCGCCUGUGUCGCGCUCCUGCUGCCGGGGGCCCCAGCCCGAGGCUACACCGGGAGGAAGCCGCCCGGGCACUUCGCGGCCGAGAGACGCCGGCUGGGCCCCCACGUCUGCCUCUCUGGGUUCGGGAGUGGCUGCUGCCCUGGCUGGGCGCCCUCUAUGGGUGGUGGGCACUGCACCCUGCCCCUCUGCUCCUUCGGCUGUGGGAGUGGCAUCUGCAUCGCUCCCAACGUCUGCUCCUGCCAGGAUGGAGAGCAAGGGGCCACCUGUCCAGAAACCCACGGACCAUGUGGGGAGUACGGCUGUGACCUUACCUGCAACCAUGGCGGCUGUCAGGAGGUGGCCCGAGUGUGCCCUGUGGGCUUCUCGAUGACGGAGACAGCUGUUGGCAUCAGGUGUACAGACAUUGACGAAUGUGUAACCUCCUCCUGCGAGGGCCACUGUGUGAACACAGAAGGUGGGUUUGUGUGCGAGUGUGGGCUGGGCAUGCAGCUGUCUGCCGACCGCCACAGCUGCCAAGGUGAGUUGCAGAGAAGGAACGGCUGCUCUGGGAGGGGUAAUGGGGUUGCCA
rnacentral:sRNA from 1 species